GCGGCGGACGGGUGAGUAACGCGUGGGUAACCUACCCCAAAGCCCGGGAUAACAGCGGGAAACCGCUGCUAAUACCGGAUGACUUUACCUUGGGGCAUCUUGAGGUAAAGAAAGGUUAACGCUUUGGGAUGGGCCCGCGUCCCAUUAGCUAGUUGGUGAGGUAACGGCUCACCAAGGCGACGAUGGGUAGCCGGCCUGAGAGGGUGGACGGCCACACUGGGACUGAGACACGGCCCAGACUCCUACGGGAGGCAGCAGUAGGGAAUAUUGCGCAAUGGACGGAAGUCUGACGCAGCGACGCCGCGUGAGCGAUGAAGGCCUUCGGGUCGUAAAGCUCUGUCCUUGGGGAAGAAGGUCUUCGGACUUGACGGUACCCAAGAAGAAAGCCCCGGCUAACUACGUGCCAGCAGCCGCGGUAAUACGUAGGGGGCGAGCGUUGUCCGGAAUUACUGGGCGUAAAGGGUGCGUAGGCGGCCCUUUAAGUCAGAUGUGAAAGCCCGCG
rnacentral:rRNA from 1 species